ACUUCCUUUCCGUAUCAACAGGAGGCCAGGGACUGGCUGGACCCCUAGGAGCCAGGUCCUACGGAUAGGUGAGCCGGCCCCCCAGGGCAAACACCUCCACUGGGCAGACCUGACUGCCCAGAGCUGGAUUCUUUACUUGUAAAAGGGGCCAUGAGUGACACAGGCUCGGCCUGCUGUGCCUUGAGGAAAGGAGAGGCUAAAAAUUCUGCCUUCUCUCCUAAAGCCAGCCGGGCUCUUUAUGGUGGGGGAAGGAAGGAUUUGUUUAUUUGCACUCUUCUGAAAUAAAAGUUCUCUAUCCUC
rnacentral:lncRNA from 1 species